AUGGAGAGAGAGAUAAUGGAGAGAGAGUUAUCAAAGUUUAACAGAGUUUGUGUGUUUUGUGGUAGUAGUCCUGGUAAUAAAACUAGCUAUAAAGAUGCUGCUAUUGAACUUGGAAGAGAAUUGGUUUCAAGAAAUAUUGAUUUAGUUUAUGGAGGAGGCAGCAUUGGUUUGAUGGGGUUGGUUUCUCAAGCUGUUUACGACGGCGGUCGACAUGUAAUUGGAGUGAUUCCAAAAACACUUAUGCCAAGAGAGAAAGUUGUGGAGAAUCAGAUGAAACAAAUUCAGAAAAUUCGCAAAUGGAUGAAGUGA